rnacentral:misc_RNA from 1 species
GAUGAAGAACGUAGCGAAAUGCGAUAAGUAAUGUGAAUUGCAGAAUUCAGUGAAUCAUCGAAUCUUUGAACGCACAUUGCGCCCGCCAGUAUUCUGGCGGGCAUGCCUGUUCGAGCGUCAUUACAACCCUCAGGCCCCCGGGCCUGGCGUUGGGGAUCGGCGGAGCCCCCCGUGGGCACACGCCGUCCCCCAAAUACAGUGGCGGUCCCGCCGCAGCUUCCAUCGCGUAGUAGCUAACACCUCGCGACUGGAGAGCGGCGCGGCCACGCCGUAAAACACCCAGCUCUUCUGAAGUUGACCUCGAAUCAGGUAGGAAUACCCGCUGAACUUAAGCAUAUCAAUAAGCGGAGGA